CACCUGUACAUCUCUUGCGACACCAAAAAGAAAUGAGGAUUGUGGCAAGACUUGUACUAGGGCC
rnacentral:pre_miRNA from 1 species